UGCGCAGGCGGUCGGUUAAGUCCGGUGUGAAAUCUCACAGCCUAACUGUGAGCGGUCAUUGGAAACUAAUCGGCUCGAGGACUGGAGAGGAGACUGGAAUAGUCGGUGUAGCGGUGAAAUGCGUAGAGAUCGACUAGAACACCGGUGGCGAAGGCGGGUCUCUGGACAGUUCCUGACGCUCAUGCACGAAAGCCAGGGGAGCAAACG
rnacentral:rRNA from 1 species